UUACACAAUUGCCUUUCUCAGCUUCUUUCUUUUUUUGUAAAUGAGAGAAAUCAUGUCUACAAUUACUAGCUAAUAUUCCACAGUGAUGUGGACAUUUUAAAGUUACCAACCAGCCAAACUUCUGUACGCUGCUGCAGGAAGCUGUCUGGGUGCAAUCUCUACAGACAUAUACGGGAAUAAUUGUGUUGUAGAGAUGUCUGUAGGAGUCACUGAGGAAAAGCCAAAUGGCCAUUGAGAUGAGCCUUAUUAUUAAAGGCCUAAUAAUAAUAAUAAUAAUAAUAAUAAUAAUAAUAUAAUAAAGAGGAAGGAUGAGGAAGAAGAGGAGGAGAAGAAGAAAAAGCAACAGCAGUAAAUGUCAACCAGUGACUAAUCAGUGCAUGUGUACACACACAACCAAAUAUCAUCAGCAUUGUAAGAAUGGAGUUCUGAUACACAACGGAUUGCUGUGAGGUUUAGAUGUUUGCAAAACCAUCAGGUUGGCCCAGGGCAGGGCUCAAUACCCUCUGGCACUUCCUAAUGCUCAGGACUGUACCUCAUCGUGAUUGCAAAUGCAUUGACUCUGCAGACAAAUUGCUGUAUUUGUUUAAUAAGCAGGUUCCCUAGUAAAUUCAGUAAAAGGAAAUAGAAGCCCUUUUUGCACCUA